rnacentral:tRNA from 1 species
GUCCCUAUAGCUUAAAGGAAAAGCGCAGCCCUGCGGAGGCUGAUAUGGAGGUUCGAUUCCUCCUAGGGACA